rnacentral:tRNA from 1 species
GGGCCCAAAGUUUACCGGGUUGAACACAUCAUUUGCAAUGAUGAGGUGGAGGGUUCGAGCCCCUCUGGGUCCA